UUUCUCUGCAAAACAGCGGUAAGAAUGAUCCUACUUCAAUAGAGUUGCUGUGAGGAUUCACUGAGAUCAUGUGUACCAAGCUCCUACAAUAGUACUGAACCCACAGCCAUGGAUCAAGACCAUUAACUUAUAAUCAGUGAUAGCCAAGAGGAUGGGAAGAGAAUAUUAAGCCUGGUGCUCUGCAAAUUAAUACUUGCAGGUUGGGAAGCCAGAUAUCCACAUUAUCUCACAUCACAUCACUGAGCUCUGUGGCCCAGUUCUGACUACAUGUUAGAAGCAGAAGUCUGCAGGGGAUGGCUUCUGAGAAAACUUGUAUUUAUUAUUUAAAUUUAACCUUCUAGCCUGGGAAUAAAUUCCAGCUUGCUUAGAAC
rnacentral:lncRNA from 10 species